rnacentral:rRNA from 1 species
GCUUGCACUUUGAUGACGAGUGGCGCACGGGUGCGUAACGCGUAUAGAACCUACCCUGUACAGGGGGAUAGCCCAGAGAAAUUUGGAUUAAUACCCCGUGGUAACUAUAAAUGGCAUCAUUUAUAGUUUAAAGUUUUCGGACGGUACAGGAUGGCUAUGCGUCCUAUUAGUUAGAUGGUGAGGUAACGGCUCACCAUGGCAUCGAUAGGUAGGGGCCCUGAGAGGGGGAUCCCCCACACUGGUACUGAGACACGGACCAGACUCCUACGGGAGGCAGCAGUGAGGAAUAUUGGACAAUGGGCGUAAGCCUGAUCCAGCCAUGCCGCGUGCAGGAAGACGGCCCUAUGGGUUGUAAACUGCUUUUAUACGGGAAGAAUAAGGGACACGAGUGUCCUGGUGACGGUACCGUAAGAAUAAGGACCGGCUAACUCCGUGCCAGCAGCCGCGGUAAUACGGAGGGUCCGAGCGUUAUCCGGAAUUAUUGGGUUUAAAGGGUCCGCAGGCGGGCAAUUAAGUCAGGGGUGAAAUGGUACGGCUCAACCGUAGCACUGCCCUUGAUACUGGUUGUCUUGAGUCAUAGUGAAGUGGCCGGAAUAUGUAGUGUAGCGGUGAAAUGCAUAGAUAUUACAUAGAACACCGAUUGCGAAGGCAGGUCACUAACUAUCGACUGACGCUGAUGGACGAAAGCGUGGGGAGCGAACGGGAUUAGAUACCCCGGUAGUCCACGCCGUAAACGAUGGAUACUAGCUGUCCGCUGCCUUGAGCAGUGGGCGGCUCAGCGAAAGUGAUAAGUAUCCCACCUGGGGAGUACGUUCGCAAGAAUGAAACUCAAAGGAAUUGACGGGGGCCCGCACAAGCGGUGGAGCAUGUGGUUUAAUUCGAUGAUACGCGAGGAACCUUACCAGGGCUUAAAUGCAUAAUGACAGGUCUAGAGAUAGACUUUUCUUCGGACAUUUUGCAAGGUGCUGCAUGGUUGUCGCCAGCUCGUGCCGUGAG